GCAGCUCAGCGGUAGAGUGUCUGCUUUGCAUGCAGAAGUUCCCAGGUUCUAUCCCCAACGUCUCCA